UGAGAGGAAAGAUCCAGGGGAAGCACCGUGGUACUAUGGGAUAGUUUGCCCCAGUCUUCUUAUGCGCAGAUAAAUUUCAACAAUUUUUUUCACGUUCGGGUGCUGUUCACUUUAUCGGUUAAUAUGAAGUUGAUAACUUUAAUCAAAAGAGACAAAUCGCACUUCGAAAUAAGGGUAUGAAAUGAAUACUCCAGGGUAAAAAUGACUGGUUGAUUCUCAACGCAUCACAAUAAAUAACGAAGGAGCACGUUCUAAUCCAAACCAUUGGCGUGACUAAUGGAGAUUGCGACGAGGAUGCCAGGAUGAGAUAUGAGAAGCAUUUUGGAAAUCCUUGGCUUAAGUUGUAGUUUGAUUGAGAAAAAUACAAAGGUUUUUGAGCUGCUACUAUUUUCUACGAACUCUCUUGAGGAACAUGUCAAGAACAACAAGAUCACGGAAACUUGGGCAGAAACCUUGGACAUACAUGUAAAAAUGGUUCCAUUUUAAACCCAUUAUGAUCACUGAUUCUUGUGUAUCGUUCACAGCGGAGAAGCAAUGCAGGUGUACAAUCACUUUAAUGUAUUACGAUGAUUAUGCGAACCAUUUCAAUCUCUGCCUCGAAGUAGCUGUUGUAAUGCUCCUCUUCCUGAGAAUACAGCAUUCUCUGUUUUUGAAGUGAUAUAUGAAAUGUUUCAUAUAUUGAACUGCGGAUUUGAAAUCAAUGUCCAAGUCUGUCUGUACUUACCAGAAACCACAUGCUGAACUUAUCCAGCUAGCAAAAGUAGUGGCUAUUAAGAACCUUCUAGCUGACCCUUGCUUUUAGAAUGAUUCCAGUGAUAAAAGUUUGCUGUAGUCAUACCAACACAGGUGGAAAAAAUACAAAAAGUUGGGGACACUUUACAGGCUGUGGUUUGUUCUCGAUUUAAAUCAGUCUGUAUUCUGCAGGUGCAAGGGUGGAACAAAUCAAGGAUAUAGACAUUUUGGUGCAACUUUGUUUAAACUAGAUAAUUUUUUUUUAAUGAAAGAAAGUCUGUCAGCUUUGUGUUUUCAUAUUGGAACCCAAAACCAAGGCCUACCCACAAGCCAGUCCCUAACUCAGAGAUGCAAAUUUCCUGCAGCACUGUUAGGAAAAAGAAAACUCAUCACCUAUUAUGGUUCCUGGAUUGAUCUAUUCAAUCCAAGGCUCAUACAAAUGUAAAUACAAAUAAAAUGAAAAUGCUUUAUUUACA